rnacentral:rRNA from 1 species
AUUGAACGCUGGCGGCAUGCUUUACACAUGCAAGUCGAACGGAAACAGGCCGCAAGGUGCUGACGAGUGGCGAACGGGUGAGUAAUGCAUCGGAACGGGCCCAGUCGUGGGGGAUAACUACUCGAAAGAGUAGCUAAUACCGCAUACGAUCUAUGGAUGAAAACGGGGGACCGUAAUGCCUCGCGCGAUUGUAGCGGCCGAUGUCGGAUUAGGUAGUUGGUGGGGUAAAGGCUCACCAAGCCAACGAUCUGUAGCUGGUCUGAGAGGACAACCAGCCACACUGGGACUGAGACAAGGCCCAGACUCCUACGGGAGGCAGCAGUGGGGAAUUUUGGACAAUGGGCGCAAGCCUGAUCCAGCAAUGCCGCGUGCAGGAAGAAGGCCUUCGGGUUGUAAACUGCUUUUGUAAGGAACGAAACGGCUCUGGUUAAUACCCGGGGCUAAUGACGGUACCGUAAGAAUAAGCACCGGCUAACUACGUG